rnacentral:rRNA from 1 species
UUGGAGGGCAAGUCUGGUGCCAGCAGCCGCGGUAAUUCCAGCUCCAAUAGCGUAUAUUAAAGUUGUUGCAGUUAAAAAGCUCGUAGUUGAAUUUCGAGAUCAGUACGCUGGUCGUGCCUUCGGUAUGCACUGGUGUCACUGGUUUCUCCCUUCUGAAGAACCGUCAUGUCAUUAAGUUGGUGUGGCGGGGAAUCAGGACUGUUACUUUGAAAAAAUUAGAGUGUUUAAAGCAGGCUCGCGCUUGAAUACAUUAGCAUGGAAUAAUGAAAUAGGACGUUUGACCCUAUUUUGUUGGUUUCUAGGAUCGACGUAAUGAUUAAUAGGGAUAGUUGGGGGCAUUAGUAUUCAAUUGUCAGAGGUGAAAUUCUUGGAUUUAUUGAAGACUAACUACUGCGAAAGCAUUUGCCAAGGAUGUUUUCAUUAAUCAAGAACGAAAGUUAGGGGAUCGAAGACGAUCAGAUACCGUCGUAGUCUUAACCAUAAACUAUGCCGACUAGGGAUCGGAUGAUGUUAAUGUUUUAAUGACUCAUUCGGCGCCUUACGGGAAAC